AUGUGGAUAGUUGCAUAUGUUGUGAGAAUUGGCCUCAAACAUGCAGAUCGCCUGCUGCUGGUGUGCUUAAAGAUUGUCAGGUGGCGAUGAAUGCGAUUACAGAGGAUGUGGCGUGCUAUGCUAUGCUAAAGGAGGUGCAUUCUGGAGGAAGUGAACAGCUCGGUGGCGUUUCUAAUAAGUUCAUCUCGUAUUAUCCUUGAGAUACAGCAUCACAGUCACCUCAAUCAAUCACUUACAAUAGGGUAUCUACUACACAGCCAAUUAGCUGGAUGCCACAUACCCAUUCAAGGUUGAAAUUGAAUGAAGAAAGCUUGUGAUGUUCGUUGGGAAGAGUUGGUAUAGGAGCAGUUGUGAGGGAUGGAGAAGGAAAGUUGAAAGCUGCACUACUAUUUUCUUUCACAAGCGGUCUCUUACCUCAUGCAACUGAAGCCUUGGCGGUAUUGUAUGGAAUGAGGUUUUGCUUGAAUGUUAUUGCAAAUACAAGUAGCUAGAAAGUGUUGCCAUGAAUGUGAUCUCAGCUAUCAACAAUUCUGAAUAAGAUUUGAGCAUGGACGGCACAUAUUUCAAGAACUUAAAUAUCUGAGGAAGUUAUUUGGAGUAAACUACCAAGACAUUGCAAUAGAGCUUCUCCAGAGUGUUUAGAAAUUAGAAGGAAGCCGGCCCCCUCUAUGGGUUGAGGAAGUUCCGAUAGGUGAUAUGUCUAGUUGAUUUAUACUGGUGUGGUAGUCUUUUUUUCCUUGCUCGGGACAUUGCAACAGUGCUGCUCCAGAGUAUUUAUCUAUAAUUGCAACUAGAAAAGUAGAAGUUGGAAGGAAAGCAUUUGUACUGGUUAUGAUUAUUCACCUUUUCUUAACUCGCUCUCAUCAAGCAAGGUUUGUGACUAU
rnacentral:lncRNA from 1 species